AACAACAACAACAACUAAAGGGAACAAAUGCAGCUGGUGAAAAGUAAAAUGCUAGACCUUAUCUAGUUAUGGAGUUGUACCAAAAAUUUAUUAACCAUAAAAACAAUAAUAGAAGAAAAGCGAAAUAUCCCCAUGGCUUCAUAGAAUAUUUAUUGGACAAGUCUAAGAAAGAAAGGAAUGGCCUGUUUUCUCUUCCAGAUACAGAUAGAUAAUUACAUCCAAAGCAGAUUAUCCCUUUCAGGUAUUAUAGAUCAAUCCAAUAAGGCAGUUUGUCCUAUCAAUGUGAGUUCAUUAGCUGGACCAAUUGUGAAACCUAGCUAUCUUGCUAUAAUAAAAACCAUCAUAUUAUGAAUUUAGCAAAAACGUCAGUGUUGCACCAAUCAAAGCCAGAUUUAGCAAUGACUAAAAAUUACUCUUCCAUAUCCAUCAAAACAUAAAAAUAGUAAAAAAAGAAAGCAGUUGCUAUGUUCAGUUAGACAAUUAACAAGGAAGAGAAAACCUCAACCUUACUAAAUUUCUGAAUAAAUUUUUUUAAGGCGGUGUUGACUUCAAUAUUUGGAGUCUUCAACCAUCUAGAAACAAAUACCUAUUCUAUCUCUUCAAGUGCAUAUGUAAUUAGCUUUAGGGUAGAUAUUCUUCCAAAGAGAAAAUAAUUAAUUCCCAAAUCUGACUAUUUUUUCUACAAAAAUAUUCAUGUAUGCUACCAUAAUUAUACAGAAAAAUAACACAACCAAAUAAACCAACACAAACCCAAAAAAUCGACUACAUUUGCAGAGAAUUACAGUAAAUCAAUUCAAAGAAAACUUGCAAAUACUUCAACAAAUUAGCA
rnacentral:misc_RNA from 1 species